UGGCCUGGUCUAAAGUAGUGCAGAACCCUAUAUAGUGGCCUGGUCUAAAGUGGUGCAGCACCCUAUUCCCUACAUAGUGCCCUGGUCUAAAGUGGUGCAGCACCCUAUUCCCUACAUAGUGGCCUGGCCUAAAGUAGUGCACUAUGUAGGGAAUAGGGUACCAUUUGGAAUACAGACAGUCUUUAAAGGGACUUGUGGUUUGGCCUGUGGAGACUUGCAGAUGCCCACUGACUGCAUCUUCAUGGCGUCUUGAGUGGUGUUGUUUACUAAUGCACUACUAAAGUCCUGUGUUUAAUAUCACUGUCUGUCAUUCUGCUAGUGCUUUAGAAACAGUGGAGUUAGAGCGAGGUGGGGGGGGUGCUCUUAGUCAACCAAGUGAGGGGAGUUCUUUACUCAUUAGUGACCUUAAGUCAUCAAUCAAGUACAAGGGAGGAAUGAAAACCUGCAGACACUCGGGCCCACCGUGGAAUGAGUUUGGCACACGUGAGUUAGAGCAUGAUGUCAGUGGGGAGAAGGCUGGUAGGUCUACCAUGUUAGUGACCUAGUGUGGUACGUGAGUUAGAGUAUGACGUCAGUGGGGAGAAGGCUGGUAGGUCUACCAUGUUAGUGACCUAGUGUGGUACGUGAGUUAGAGUAUGACGUCAGUGGCGCGUUGGGGAGAAGGCUGGUAGGUCUACCAUGUUAGUGACCUAGUGUGGUACGUGAGUUAGAGUAUGAUGUCAGUGGGGAGAAGGCUGGUAGGUCUACCAUGUUAGUGACCUAGUGUGGUACGUGAGUUAGAGCAUGAUGUCAGUGGGGAGAAGGCUGGUAG
ensembl:lncRNA